GAUGAAGAACGUAGCGAAAUGCGAUAAGUAAUGUGAAUUGCAGAAUUCAGUGAAUCAUCGAAUCUUUGAACGCACAUUGCGCCCGCCAGUAUUCUGGCGGGCAUGCCUGUUCGAGCGUCAUUUCAGCCAUCAAGCCCCCGGGCUUGUGUUGGGGACCCGCGGCUGCCGCGGGCCCUGAAAGACAGUGGCGGUCUCGCUGUAGCACCGAGCGUAGUAGCAUACACCUCGCUCCGGUCGCGCGGCGGGCUUCCGGCCGUAAAAACCCCUAUAAUCAAAGGUUGACCUCGGAUCAGGUAGGAAUACCCGCUGAACUUAAGCAUAUCAAUAAGCGGAGGA
rnacentral:misc_RNA from 1 species